AUUGAACGCUGGCGGCAGGCCUAACACAUGCAAGUCGAACGGUAACAGGAAGAAGCUUGCUUCUUUGCUGACGAGUGGCGGACGGGUGAGUAAUGUCUGGGAAACUGCCUGAUGGAGGGGGAUAACUACUGGAAACGGUAGCUAAUACCGCAUAACGUCGCAAGACCAAAGAGGGGGACCUUCGGGCCUCUUGCCAUCGGAUGUGCCCAGAUGGGAUUAGCUAGUGGGUGGGGUAACGGCUCACCUAGGCGACGAUCCCUAGCUGGUCUGAGAGGAUGACCAGCCACACUGGAACUGAGACACGGUCCAGACUCCUACGGGAGGCAGCAGUGGGGAAUAUUGCACAAUGGGCGCAAGCCUGAUGCAGCCAUGCCGCGUGUAUGAAGAAGGCCUUCGGGUUGUAAAGUACUUUCAGCGGGGAGGAAGGGAGUAAAGUUAAUACCUUUGCCCAUUGACGUUACCCGCAGAAGAAGCACCGGCUAACUCCGUG
rnacentral:rRNA from 1 species